UACAGAGGGGGCAAGCGUUAUUCGGAAUUAUUGGGCGUAAAGGGCGCGUAGGCGGCUUGGCAAGUGGAAGGUGAAAUCCCUCGGCUUAACCGAGGAACUGCCCUCCAAACUGCUUCGCUUGAGACCGGGAGAGGUGAGUGGAAUUCCCAGUGUAGCGGUGAAAUGCGUAGAUAUUGGGAGGAACACCAGUGGCGAAGGCGGCUCACUGGCCCGGUACUGACGCUGAGGUGCGAAAGCGUGGGGAGCAAACAGG
rnacentral:rRNA from 1 species